CUAAUCAGCUGUCAAGAGCCAAAGUUUGUUUUCUUAUUUGUUUACAAAUUUGUAUUUGUAUAAAUGUGAUAAGCGCCAUAGUUUCCUAAACCACUCAUGGUUGUGCAUACACGAUACUAAUAAGAUGGAAACUAUGGAACAGAAAUCGAAGAUUUAUCAGUAUAAAAAAAGUUCCCAGUUGGAUUUUGCAAAAAUAAAUCAGCAAAACAACAGAGAAUGAUUUUAGUGGAAAUACACAAAAAUGCCUUGUAAAACCAAACGAUUCACAGAAAAAGAAUCCACGGAACCAAACCCCCGAGCUAGAAGAUCAUUUAGGAACAGUGGAUCCUCACAAAGAUGACAUUCAUAUUCAGGUGAAGAACGAGCCGACUGAAGAUGAUUUCCAAGAAGCAGAUGCCCAGGCUUCAGAUAGUGAAUCUAAUGGCUUCGAAUUGCAAGUAAAAAACGAACUAAUUGAGGAGGAUUUUGAGAAAAAUUAUAGUUAUGGAGUUUCAGUGCCCCGAAUCUUCAAGUGCCCCGAAUGCCCAAAGGAUUUUGUCCAUGCAUCGUACCUGAAAGUCCACAUGCAAAUUCACUCCAAGGAUAAGCCGCACAAGUGUAGCCCACGUUCGUAGUCACCCGGAUGGAGAGCCCCACAAUUGCAAGAAUUGCAAAAGGACUUAUAAUUGGAAGUCCAGUCUCAAAAAUCACCUGCGAUCGCACAUACGGUGCCGCUUAAACUCAUAUUUAUCGGAAGUGGAACCUAG